rnacentral:rRNA from 1 species
CAUAUCAAUAAGCGGAGGAAAAGAAACCAACAGGGAUUGCCUCAGUAACGGCGAGUGAAGCGGCAACAGCUCAAAUUUGAAAUCUGGCCUUCUACGGGGUCCGAGUUGUAAUUUGUAGAGGAUGCUUCGGUGUUGGCCCCGGCCUAAGUUCCUUGGAACAGGACGUCGCAGAGGGUGAGAAUCCCGUACGCGGCCGGUGUCCCUCGCCAUGUGAAGCUCCUUCGACGAGUCGAGUUGUUUGGGAAUGCAGCUCUAAAUGGGAGGUAAAUUUCUUCUAAAGCUAAAUACCGGCCAGAGACCGAUAGCGCACAAGUAGAGUGAUCGAAAGAUGAAAAGCACUUUGGAAAGAGAGUCAAAAAGUACGUGAAAUUGUUGAAAGGGAAGCGCUUGCAACCAGACCUGCCCGCGGUCGCUCAUCCAGGCUCCUGCCUGGUGCACUCUUCCGUGGUCAGGCCAGCAUCGGUUCGGGCGGUCGGACAAAGACGGUGGGAAUGUGGCUCCUCUCGGGGAGUGUUAUAGCCCGCCGUGCAAUGCGGCCAGUCCGGACCGAGGUCCGCGCUUCGGCUAGGAUGCUGGCGUAAUGGUUGUAAGCGGCCCGUCUUGAAACACGGACCAAGGAGUCUAACAUCUGUGCGAGUGUUUGGGUGUCAAGCCCGGACGCGUAAUGAAAGUGAACGGAGGCGGGAACCCUAGGGUGCACCGUCGACCGAUCCUGAUGUCUUCGGAUGGAUUUGAGUAAGAGCAUAGCUGUUGGGACCCGAAAGAUGGUGAACUAUGCCUGAAUAGGGUGAAGCCAGAGGAAACUCUGGUGGAGGCUCGCAGCGGUUCUGACGUGCAAAUCGAUCGUCAAAUUUGGGCAUAGGGGCGAAAGACUAAUCGAACUAUCUAGUAGCUGGUUCCUGCCGAAGUUUCCCUCAGGAUAGCAGUAACGUUUUCAGUUUUAUGAGGUAAAGCGAAUGAUUAGAGGCCUGGGGGUUGAAACAACCUUCACCUAUUCUCAAACUUUAAAUAUGUAAGAAGUCCUUGUUACUUAGUUGAACGUGGACAUUUGAAUGCACCGUUACUAGUGGGCCAUUUUUGGUAAGCAGAACUGGCGAUGCGGGAUGAACCGAACGCGGGGUUAAGGUGCCGGAAUGCACGCUCAUCAGACACCACAAAAGGUGUUAGUUCAUCUAGACAGCAGGACGGUGGCCAUGGAAGUCGGAAUCCGCUAAGGAGUGUGUAACAACUCACCUGCCGAAUGAACUAGCCCUGAAAAUGGAUGGCGCUCAAGCGUGCUACCCAUACCCCGCCGCCGGGGCAAGAGUUACGCCCCGGCGAGUAGGCAGGCGUGGAGGCCCGUGACGAAGCCUUGGGGGUGACCCCGGGUAGAACGGCCUCUAGUG